UGGAGCGGGCAGUGGGAAUCGAACCCACAUCAUCAGCUUGGAAGGCUGAGGUAAUAGCCAUUAUACGAUGCCCGCA
rnacentral:tRNA from 1 species